GGGUAAGUCCUGAUGCUGGCAAAAAGGUUUCGGCCCUUUUUGAGGGAGGUUAAUAGUCCUCUCCUUACCUU
rnacentral:tRNA from 1 species